rnacentral:rRNA from 1 species
GACGAACGCUGGCGGCGUGCUUAACACAUGCAAGUCGAACGGAAAGGCCCUGCUUUUGUGGGGUGCUCGAGUGGCGAACGGGUGAGUAACACGUGAGUAACCUGCCCUUGACUUUGGGAUAACUUCAGGAAACUGGGGCUAAUACCGGAUAGGAGCUCCUGCUGCAUGGUGGGGGUUGGAAAGUUUCGGCGGUUGGGGAUGGACUCGCGGCUUAUCAGCUUGUUGGUGGGGUAGUGGCUUACCAAGGCUUUGACGGGUAGCCGGCCUGAGAGGGUGACCGGCCACAUGGGGACUGAGGUACGGCCCAGACUCGUACGGGAGGCAGCAGUGGGGAAUAUUGCACAAUGGGCGGAAGCCUGAUGCAGCAACGCCGCGUGCGGGAUGACGGCCUUCGGGUUGUAAACCGCUUUCGCCUGUGACGAAGCGUGAGUGACGGUAAUGGGUAAAGAAGCACCGGCUAACUACGUG